rnacentral:rRNA from 1 species
UAGGGAAUAUUGCAAAAUGGGCGAAAGCCCGAUGCAGCAACGCCGCGUGUGCGAUGAAGGCCUUCGGGUCGUAAAGCACUUUUCGAGGGGAUGAGGAAGGACAGUACCCUCGGAAUAAGUCUCGGCUAACUACGUGCCAGCAGCCGCGGUAAAACGUAGGAGACGAGCGUUAUCCGGAUUUACUGGGCGUAAAGCGCGUGCAGGCGGUUUGGCAAGUUGGAUGUGAAAGCUCCUGGCUCAACUAGGAGAGGUCGUUCAAAACUACCAGACUUGAGGACAGUAGAGGGAGGUGGAAUUCCGGGUGUAGUGGUGAAAUGCGUAGAUAUCCGGAGGAACACCAGUGGCGAAAGCGGCCUCCUGGACUGUUUCUGACGCUCAGACGCGAAAGCUAGGGUAGCAAACG